ensembl:lncRNA
CUCAGAGUGCCCCCAAGAGCCUGCAGACGGGGCAGCCCCUCGUUCAGACUAUCAGGGAUCUCAGAGAGAGCCCAGAACCAAGGAGCUGCCCCAGCUGCAGCCACUCAGGAAUGAAAGGGGUCCAGAAGCCCCAGGCCCCAGCUCGUUACCACACCAGGGGUCGGGGGGGCGGGCGGCUCCCUAACGGCCAGGCUGUGUUUGUUUCUGCAGGAAAAGCAGCUGCCUGGCAGCACCUCUUGGGCUCCCACCUGUUCCUGUGAACCCAUGGACCUCGGAGUGGCCGUGAUCUCCAGGGCAGGAGCAGGGAUCCCCAGACACAGUCUGCGGGCAGACCCCAGAGUAGAAGGCUAUGCUCCAAGCCCCUCCCUGAAGCUCAUGGACUGAGCCUCCAGACGGGGGGCUGACCCCAGGGCAGGCACUGCUGGGCCAGAGGACCACCCCCCCUCCCCACCCCGGGCUCUGGCGGCUUCUCCUUCCCCCUCAGUCACCCGCCAUCUGACCCGGCACUUUUGUAACCAGAGGCUUUGGCAACUGAGAAAACCCCAGUGCACACUCAGCCACCGUACCACCGACCGUGGGUCCCCGAGAGGGGCGCCCACCCCCAGGGCUGGACCCUGGGACCCUGGGAGGGGCGCCCACCCCCAGGGCUGGACCCUGGCCUGGCCUCCAGAGGGCCUGCCCUGUCCUGCCUACACGGUCAUCGUGGGGCUCAUGCUGCCUCCAAGCAGCGGUGCAGAAAAGUGCUCAUCCGCAGAGCGGACCCCUGGACGCGGCAGGGCAAAGCAGACAGCCGGGGGCACAGUCCUGUGCUCCGUUUCCAGAGAGAAAAGGAAUGAGGUCCAUGGGGCUGGUGGGUGACCCAGGAAUCUUGGGUCCGGGUGGGGCCUGCUGUGACUUACAGAUGCUGACAAGGGGAGCCCCUCAGUCAGGCUGCUGGAGAGGGGCUCAGCCACCCACAGGGAGGCAGCCUCCAGGGAGCCAGGGACAGCACCUCUCACGCCUGCGGAGUCAUCCCCGAGGGCCCACGGCCACCCUGGGGUGAGAUGUGGGAGGCUGAGGACGAGGUGGGUCCCCAUCCCGGGACUGUCCUCUCCCCAUUCCCAUGCUCACCCCUGACCCACAGCAGUGCCUCCCGUCGAGCCUGUGGGUCACUUGACCUUUUGGAAGAAGUGAGCAUUUCCAUGCUUGCCCCACAGACCUUCUGGCAAGCGCGAGGCUUUUCCUCCUGAAAAACAAUUCAUGGCCUAAGAGGGGGUGCGACCCGCCCCUGCCGUCCCCAC